AAACAGAAACAAAGGGAUGUAACUCCUAAAUGGUAGAGCAUUGAGCAGUGAUACUGCAAAGGCAUGAUCAAUGCACAUUUGCAUUAAGCUAUAGUUGUAUUGAUGCCUAUAGUAUCCCUUUGAAGGGACACUAGUCACCAAAACAACUACAGCUUAUUGAAUUUGUUCUGGUGAGUACAAUCAUUACCUUGAGGCUUUUUGCUGUAAACACUGUCUUUUCAGAGAAAAUGCAGUGUUUACAUUACAGCCUAGAGAUAACUUCACUGGCCACUUCUCAGAUAGCUGUUAGCGAUUAGUGAUGUCGCGAACCCGAAAUUUUCGGUUCGCGAAU